rnacentral:rRNA from 1 species
AGAGUUUGAUUAUGGCUCAGGAUAACGUUGGCUGUGUGCCUAAGGUAUGCAAGUCGAACGAUUCUUAUAGUGGCAAACGGGUGAGUAACACGUAGAAACUUGCCUCGAAGUCGGGAAUAGCUCGUCGAAAGACGGGGUAAUAUCCGAUGCUCUAACCACUUCGUGUUUUAGAGUAAAGCUUUUGUGCUUCGAGAGAGGUCUGCGUCCUAUCAGCUAGUUGGUAAGGUAAUGGCUUACCAAGGCUAAGACGGGUAGCUGGUGUGAGAGCACGGUCAGCCACCAUGGAACUGAGACACGGUCCAUACUCCUACGGGAGGCAGCAAUUAGGAAUCUUGCGCAAUGGGGGCAACCCUGACGCAGCGACACAGCGUGGAGGAGGUUCGUUGACUCCUUUUAUAUGGGAUAGAACCAUAUGAAUAAGGACCUGCAACUACGUGCCAGAAGCAUCGGUGAUGCGUAGGGUCCGAACGUUAUCCGGAUUUAUUGGGUGUAAGAGAUGCGUAGGCGGUUUGAUAAGUCUUGAGUUAAAGACCUCGGCUCAACCGAGGAAAAGCUUUCGAUACUAUCAGACUUGAGGCAUAGAGGGGUGAACGGAAUUCCGAGUGGAGUGGUGAAAUACGUUGAUAUUCGGAGGAACAUCAGUGGCGAAGGCGGUUCACUGGCUAUGCCUGACGCUCAGGCUCGAAAGCGUGGGUAGCAAAACGGAUUAGAUACCCGUGUAGUCCACGCUGUAAACUAUGGAUGCUAGGUGUUCGGUACACAGUGCUGAGUGCCGCAGCUAACGCGUUAAGCAUCCCACCUGGGAAGUACGGCCGCAAGGCUAAAACUCAAAUGAAUUGGCGGGGGCCCGCACAAGCGGUGGAGCGUGUGGUUUAAUUCGAUGCUAAGCGAAGGACCUUACCAAGGUACAUGCUGAUAGUAGUGAAUUGAAAGAGGAACACUAGUCACAAGGUGGUGCACGGCCGUCGUCAGCUCGUGCCGUGAGGUGUUGGGUUAAGUCCCGCAACGAGCGCAACCCCUGCUCUUAGUUGCCAGCGGUAAGGCCGGGCACUCUAGGAGGACCGCCAGGCAGAGGGGGAUGACGUCAGGUAUCGUGCCCCUUAUAUCUUGGGCGACACACGCGCUACAAUGGGUUGGACAGAAGGGACCAAGACAGCGAUGUGGAGGAAUCCUCAAACCAACCCCCAGUUCAGAUUGCAGGCUGCAACCCGCCUGCAUGAAGCCGGAAUCGCUAGUAAUCGCAGAUCAGCAAGCUGCGGUGAAUACGUUCCCGGGCCUUGCACACCGUC